CUGUGAUAAUACAACCAGAGCCCACCACCAAGUGACCCCUGGUUCUCUGAGUCUGCAGUGCUUCUGUACUCAGGCCACAGCCCAUUGCAUUAUUCAUUGUUGUACGCCUAUGAGAUAGCUGCUCUUGUUGUCAUGUCCAUUUGGUGCCUAUAAUCCCAGCUACUCAGGAGGCCGAGGCAUGAGAAUUGCUUGAAACCAAGAGUGGAGGUUGCAAUGAGCUGAAAUCACGAAAGCUUCAAAUCAUUAUUUCCCAUCAUGUGGGGAAGACUAAUAAGCCAAGAGAAAGGGAAGUAGAGUUCAGUAAUGACAAGAGAGCAAGUUCUCAUGGCAGCCUUGACCAUGUGCACUCAGGUAUUUAACUUAAGCCAGGCUUACCCAUAAACCUUUUUUUUUGUUUUGCAGUAUAUAAACAACAAAUUUCAUUGUUCAUGUCUGUUACUUGCAGCUUAAAAAAUCCUGAAUAAUGCAAAACUGCAAGAAAAAUAAAAAAGCAGACUAAAAUGUGUAUCAUUUUACCUCCAAAGGAGAUGACCAUCCCAGUCAUCUUCAAAAUUGUCAGACCACAGCUGCAGUGUUAUCUUCUGUCUAGGUGUUUAACAGAGGACCGUGGCACUCUAGGGCACUG
rnacentral:lncRNA from 10 species